GAUGAACGCUGGCGGCGUGCCUAAUACAUGCAAGUCGAGCGAACAGAUAAGGAGCUUGCUCCUUUGACGUUAGCGGCGGACGGGUGAGUAACACGUGGGUAACCUACCUAUAAGACUGGAAUAACUCCGGGAAACCGGGGCUAAUGCCGGAUAACAUUUAGAACCGCAUGGUUCUAAAGUGAAAGAUGGUUUUGCUAUCACUUAUAGAUGGACCCGCGCCGUAUUAGCUGGUUGGUAAGGUAACGGCUUACCAAGGCAACGAUACGUAGCCGACCUGAGAGGGUGGUCGGCGACACUGGAAGGGAGACGCGGUCGAGACUCCUGGGGGAGGCAGCAGUAGGGAAUGUGCCGCAAUGGGCGAAAGCCUGACGGAGCAGCGCCGCGUGAGUGAUGAAGGUCUUCGGAUCGUAAAACUCUGUUAUGAGGGAAGAACAAAUGUGUAAGUAACUGUGCACGUCUUGACGGUACCUAAUCAGAAAGCCACGGCUAACUACGUG
rnacentral:rRNA from 1 species